rnacentral:snRNA from 1 species
UUUCAGAAAUCACACGAUUAAGAUUCUGUUUCUUUGAUACAGAGAAGAUUAGCAUGGCCCCUCUGCAAGGAUGACACGCAAAUUCGUGAAGCGUUCCAUAUUAAA